GUUAGGGGAAACGUUUCCAUCUCUCCACGCAGCAGCGACACCUGCAUGUUUCCAGGGCACGUAGGUGCCCACAAAGCAAUCCCAUCAAUGAGGAAAGUUGUUGCGUUUUAUAACCCGAGGGAUGCUAAAUGGAAAAUGGACCAAAAGGCAAUAAAGAAGCAGACUUGGAAGGACAUGGGGAUGCCUCUCCCUGAACCAGUUUAUGAAGAUGGCCUUCUUUGUAGUCGCUUGCAUGCAAAACCCCUGAUUGGGAAAAGGCACAUAUAUUUGCAAGUGGAUGUUGUCUCCUGGGGCUGUCGUUAAUGGAGCAGGGCCAGUCUCUGUGAUUAUCCAAAAUCUAUUUUAAACUAUUAAAGCGCCAAGCUUCUGAUGAAAGAGUAUCGCCCUUCGCACCGAGUGAUGAUUAAAAUUGAUGCUCGGAGGCGUCGGGCAGAGAGUUCUUCAGUAAGAUACACGGAGGGGGGUAAAAACACCCUGCUGUCAAAAAA